AUUGAACGCUGGCGGCAUGCCUUACACAUGCAAGUCGAACGGUAACGCGGGGCAACCUGGCGACGAGUGGCGAACGGGUGAGUAACGCAUCGGAACGUGCCCAGUAGUGGGGGAUAGCCCGGCGAAAGCCGGAUUAAUACCGCAUACGACCUACGGGUGAAAGGGGGGGGUCGCAAGACCUCUCGCUAUUGGAGCGGCCGAUGUCAGAUUAGGUAGUUGGUGGGGUAAAGGCCCACCAAGCCUUCGAUCUGUAGCUGGCCUGAGAGGACGACCAGCCACACGGGGACUGAGACACGGCCCAGACGCCUACGGGAGGCAGCAGUGGGGAAUGUUGGACAAUGGGCGCAAGCCUGAUCCAGCCAUGCCGCGUGCGGGAAGAAGGCCUUCGGGUUGUAAACCGCUUUUGUCAGGGAAGAAACGCUCUGGGCUAAUACCUCGGGGUAAUGACGGUACCUGAAGAAUAAGCACCGGCUAACUACGUGCCAGCAGCCGCGGUAA
rnacentral:rRNA from 1 species